rnacentral:rRNA from 1 species
ACUCCAGACUCCUACGGGAGGCAGCAGUGGGGAAUAUUGCACAAUGGGGGAAACCCUGAUGCAGCGACGCCGUGUGAGCGAUGAAGUAUUUCGGUAUGUAAAGCUCUAUCAGCAGGGAAGAAAAUGACGGUACCUGACUAAGAAGCCCCGGCUAACUACGUGCCAGCAGCCGCGGUAAUACGUAGGGGGCAAGCGUUAUCCGGAUUUACUGGGUGUAAAGGGAGCGUAGACGGCGAUGCAAGCCAGAUGUGAAAGCCCGGGGCUCAACCCCGGGACUGCAUUUGGAACUGUAUAGCUAGAGUGUCGGAGAGGCAGGCGGAAUUCCUAGUGUAGCGGUGAAAUGCGUAGAUAUUAGGAGGAACACCAGUGGCGAAGGCGGCCUGCUGGACGAUGACUGACGUUGAGGCUCGAAAGCGUGGGGAGCAAACAGGAUUAGAUACCCUCGUAG